ensembl:lncRNA
CGCAGCCAGUGAGAAAACGUCUAACGCUAGACCCGCCCCCGGGAGUCAAGCUGCUUGCAUCUAAUGUCUCUCAGUUACAUAGUAAACAAAGCUUGCAAGGAAUCAGGAAUCCAGCAUCAUUACUAAACAUCUAACAGGUGCCAAAAAAAAGAGCAACAUUGAGCUGUUAACACUUCACAGCCUGCUCGUUAAACAGACAGUAGGGAUCCAGUAGGACUGGACACAACAUCAAGCCUCUUGGCUUCUGGUUUGAUAACUUCACUCAUUUAAAAAAAGAAAAAUGCUGUAACACAUCAGUGUGACAUGUUUGCUUUCAUCCUGCAUCAAAUUAAAACACAGAGAAUAUGUGUACUAGGUUUUUUUUAAGGUGAUCUUUUUAUUUUUCAACAGCUUAUUACUAAUUACGGAUUUUGGGGAAUACUAAAAAUCAUGACACAUCAGGAAAACAAAAUCUUAUAAAGGACGUGAAGCGAUGUCACUGAUGUUGUCACUGCUGAUGUGACGCUAUACCUUGUUUAUGGUAGUACCUGACCUGCCAUAAAGUUAUGUUAACGCUGUGCUUUAGAUUACAGCCAGGAGUGUGGCAGAGGAGGAAUUUUGCACUUUCAUAUAAAAUCCACUUUAUUGUGUAAUAUUUUAAUUGAUUGUAUUUGAUGGCUUAGGCCCCAGGAAGACUAGCAACCACUGUUGUGGAAGCUAAUGGAGUUCCUUAUAAAUAAGCAGACAAAUAAACACUAUUCUAAUCUUAUAUUACAUUCUUAGCAAAUUUACAGCAAAUGAAACAAAGCACAAAGUCACAGUUUUGUUUUUUUUCAUUUAAUUUUUUUAUUUUAAUUUGUGGUUUGACGCUGUUUCUUAACUCAAAAUGUCCUGUUGUAAUUGGACAUUUUGAGUUAAGAAACAGCGCCAAGCCCCAACAACACUUCCCUCAUGGUGCUUUAUAUUGUCAGAUGAAGACCCUACAAUAUUGCACAAAAACUAACCCCCUAGAGCAAGCACAUUGGCGACAGUGGGUUGCGGCGACAGACCCUCAUUAAACACUCACAUUUUACAGCUUCACACGACUGUGGGUCAAUAUGAACGUGUCAUGUGCCUGUUGCUUACGUCUAAGGUAGGAAGGAUAAUAUUUA